GACAAUGCCUGAUCCCCUCCUUCUGCUUGCAGGGAAAUGCCUCUGGGCCUCAAGGUCGUGUGAACCAUUCCUUCUCCAUCUCUUGGCUGAGGGAGCAGGAGGGAGAAGAUACAUGGAGAGGAUGACCUGGGAAAGGCAGGCCAACUUGGAGUACAGAUGGGGAAUUUUGGAGCUGGGAGCAACCUGAGAAUAGUCUGAAGGACCCUUCUCUCUGCUGAGGAACUGCAUGGUCCUUGUCUAGCAACCAGCUCAAGAUCGAAGCUCUGGCAUCGUGUUUUGAAUGAAGAAGAGAAAAUAAUUUCGCUAGUGAAAAAAAAUCUGAAGGAGCAUGGGCUUGCCAUGAGCUCAGGGAGCAAGCUUAGAUCAGGACGUGAAAGGUAAGCAGAGAGCCAUCUUGGGAAGAACUCCGUAAGGACUCUCAACAAAGGCAAAAGCAGAAAACCAAAAACCAAAGGAUUCUCAAUGAAGAACAGGCCGGCCAGAGGAAGCUGGUUAGAGAGAGAUCCAAAAUGGAGGUGGCAACUGGUACUGUACGAGCAUUGCCCAUGGUAGGCGCUGAGGACACAGAGAUGAAGGGCGCAGUGGGAGCUCAGGAGCCUGGCGUCUGGCUGGGGGAUCACACACAAAGGAUCCGAAUCCUCCAGUUGGACUUCCUAGUUCCUCUACCCCCACAGGCGAGGCUGCCCGUGGGCACCUCAGGGAUUCUGCCACCAUCCA
rnacentral:lncRNA from 1 species